AUACGUCCUAACAAUUUAGUGGACGGUGCUUCUGUGAUAAGAACAGAACAGGUAGUAAAUUUCUUCUCCGAAUUAAAGUGGAACAACAUCUGCUGUUCAGUCAACAAACAGUGCCUUCUAUAAGAUCCUAAAAGCAGUUUCUCAAAAAAAAAAAAAGUAAAAUACCCCAAACCACUUUAAGUAUAUUUACCAAGGUGAAGAUAAAAAGCAGCAUAACUCUAUCUGCGCACACAUCAGAGCAACAACCCAACCACCACAUAAUUUUAUUAAAGCACAUAGGGAGUGCUCAACUAAACUCUCUAUAGUAAUUCUGAGUAUGUCUUUACUCACUCAACAUUUGUCCAUAAACAAUGGGUGCCUAUGAUCAGUUGAAGUGAGCAGUACCAGGACUAAUUCAUUUACAGCAUUCAACUUCAACCCUUGCAGUUAAUUCUACACUACAGACUGCUUUACCAGCCCAUAGCACAUCUUAACUAGAACAGGGACUUUGAAAUGCAGUUUUGCUCUACCACCAGCAAUUAUUUCUGUCCUUAUGGUAUGCUUUAUCAGCUGCAUAUGAAGCAUAAGGAACUCAUGGAAUCUCAGAAAAAGCAAACAUCACAGUAGAUCUUUGUAAGCAAGCUUAAUGCUAUGACGCAAUGGAAAAUACAGCAAUAAUAGCAGGAUGACACAACUCUAGGCUGCAGCAAAUGAGAACAAGCUCAAAAAACAACAGCUAUAAAUGCAGAAACAAAAGAAGAAAAACUGCUUACCUGUAGAAGACCCUCAGUAGACAGGAACCUCCAACAGAAGAUACCUUUACCUCCGCUGCCAACCCUUAAAUGAGGUCUGGGAGGGGAAUGGAUCCUGGCUCCACCCCUUCUCGUCACUCAGGAGCAUUGCAUGCACCUGAGCUCCCCUGGAUUGGCCCUGCCUUCCCACCAGGUGCUCAAUCACCGUUUCAGGUCAUGACAUUUCCACUACAUCAGGUAUGAGUGUUUUGGAGAACUAUCGUUUGAAGAAUGCAGCUGCUUUUCACUGGUUGGUAUCUACAUGUGUAUGGAGUUCUGUGCAGUGGUUGAAUGUGCAGCGCUUCGAGACCUUUCGGUACGUGGGGAGAUUAAGGAACCACAGAGCUUGAGAGAGAGGAGUUUGCAUCUCUUGUGAGAAUUCUGAUAUCCCUGUGUUCAUAUAUGUUGAUAUUCUCUUCUGAAUGGUGACCUGUUUACGUAGGAUGGAGCCUAAAGCUUUGGCAUUAAUAAAUUUUCUGUAGACCCAAAGACCCUGGAUAUCCUUGGACUGAGUUGCUUAAGGACACGUUGCUUUCCAAAGACCCUGAAGAAUGGUGCACUACCAAGGAUUUUUCAGUCCUAGAAGUCCGAUAAACCACCUGAAGUAGUAGCUUGAAGCCUAUCCCCUGGGAGCGUUGUGAGGACAGCAAUCUGCUGCUCACUCCUGAAUGCAGGCAGAGUAGGAAUGCUUUCCCUUAAUGCCACUAGUUCUGUGAAUUGCAGCGUGUGAACUCAGCCAGGCCCUGAAGGACAGACUUUCCUGAAAAUGACUGUUAGGUAACGUGGCCAAUUCAGCCAAUUCAAGGUUGUUCCUUUUGGCAUAUUCCCCAUUUUUGUUUAUCUCUAGAACGAAGCCUAACAGCAGUUCAUUAUGCUUCUCUUCGCAGAGCUCAGUGGGUAUCAUUUGCAACUUAAAGGAGGAAAAAAAUGAACUCAGAAAGAACAGAUCUGGAGCAGGAAGCAGUGGUGCUCUUGUGGGGGACAAUUAUAACCUAAUACAUAAGGCUAUUGUACCUUGGAAAAAAAGUAGAGCAAAAAGCAGACCAGGAGCUCUGCCUGAGAAAAGUUCUGUUAUAACUGCCAGCUCUGGGCUUGUGCUAGCGAUCACGUACACCAGAAAGGUGAUGUGUUUCAUGCUGACUUCCAGGUAUUUGCUUUUAUAAUGCAACAUCCUGAAAGACGAGCAGGCUAGAGCAGAGUGAAGGGGAAGAGGGGACAGAAUUAGAGCAUUUACCUUCUGGUUUCCCCCGUGCUCAGCGUGCUUUGCCUGCCUGGAUCAACCACCUUCAAGGUGCCCCUUGCUGCUGUGCCCUU
ensembl:lncRNA